rnacentral:rRNA from 1 species
UGCCUUUUAAAUGAAGGCCUGUAUGAAUGGCAUAACGAGGGCUUAACUGUCUCUUUCUCCCUAUCAAUGAAAUUGAUCUCCCCGUGCAGAAGCGGGGAUACUGACAUAAGACGAGAAGACCCUGUGGAGCUUUAGACCAAAAGUAGACCAUGUUAAAGAUAUAAGAAAAAUUCAUCAAACGAAUUGGGCUCUACUCUAGUGUCUUUGGUUGGGGCGACCGCGGGGUAAUGAUUAACCCCCAUGAGGAUUGAGAAUAUGAUUUUUAAAUCUAAGAAUUUCCAUUCCAAGAAACAGAAUAUCUGACCUUUUUGAUCCGGACCUUCCGAUCAACGAACCUAGUUACCCCAGGGAUAACAGCGCAAUCCUCUUUUAGAGCCCAUAUCGACAAGGGGGUUUACGACCUCGAUGUUGGAUCAGGACAUCCUAAUGGUGCAGCCGCUAUUAAGGGUUUGUUUGUUCAACAAUUAAAGU